CUCUCUCUCUCUCUCUCUAUUUUUUUGCAUGUCCUAAAUAGCAUCAGUGAGUAGCUCUAACCCUCUGAGUUCAACGAGUGGAUCAGAUACGAGGAUUUCAACGAGGAUGGUUGCCAACUGGUGGAGUUGUGGUGAUGGUGAUGGUGAUGCCAAAUGGAGAGGGUGGAAGCAGAGGUUUUGAUGGGCUCGGCAGUUGUGUGCCGCAGAGUUGUGGCAGCCAGUUGAAGAUGUGGUGAUGGUGAUUUGCUGUUGAAUCUCAGCAGGCUCGAAGAUGAGUAGGGUAUGGGUAGAUUGGGUUGUGGUGGAUUGUUCCUCUUUCCUUUUCUUUUUCUUCUUGUAAGGAAAAAAAUAAAAAUAAAACAUUCCUCCUAUAUUUCAUGCAUGCUAACUGUUUGAUGAAAUGGCUCAACAAGGAAUGUUUCAUGUUGUUAUUUUAUUUACUGGAUAAGGAGUGCCAUAGUUGCUUA